UACGAAGGGUGCAAGCGUUGCUCGGAAUUACUGGGCGUAAAGCGUGCGUAGGCGGUUUGUUAAGUCUGAUGUGAAAGCCCUGGGCUCAACCUGGGAAUUGCAUUGGAUACUGGCAGGCUAGAGUGCGGUAGAGGGUAGUGGAAUUCCCGGUGUAGCGGUGAAAUGCGUAGAGAUCGGGAGGAACACCAGUGGCGAAGGCGGCUACCUGGAUCGGCACUGACGCUGAGGCACGAAAGCGUGGGGAGCAAACAGG
rnacentral:rRNA from 1 species